GGUUAAGCGACCAAGCGUACACGGUGGAUGCCCUGGCAGUCAGAGGCGAUGAAGGACGUGCUAAUCUGCGAAAAGCGCCGGUGAGGUGAUAUGAACCGCUAUCAGCCGGCGAUGUCCGAAUGGGGAAACCCAGUGUGAUUCGUCACACUAUCGUUAAGUGAAUACAUAGCUUAACGAGGCGAACCGGGGGAACUGAAACAUCUAAGUACCCCGAGGAAAAGAAAUCAACCGAGAUUCCCUGAGUAGCGGCGAGCGAACGGGGAACAGCCCAGAGCCUGAAUCAGCAUGUGUGUCAGUGGAAGCGUCUGGAAAGGCGCACGGUACAGGGUGACAGUCCCGUACACGAAGAUGCAUGUGCUGUGAGCUCGAUGAGUAGGGCGGGACACGUGGUAUCCUGUCUGAAUAUGGGGGGACCAUCCUCCAAGGCUAAAUACUCCUGACUGACCGAUAGUGAACCAGUACCGUGAGG
rnacentral:rRNA from 1 species